GAUGAAGAACGUAGCGAAAUGCGAUACGUAAUGUGAAUUGCAGAAUUCAGUGAAUCAUCGAAUCUUUGAACGCACAUUGCGCCCGCCAGUAUUCUGGCGGGCAUGCCUGUUCGAGCGUCAUUUCAACCAUCAAGCCCCAGGCUUGUGUUGGGGACCUGCGGCUGCCGCAGGCCCUGAAAACCAGUGGCGGGCUCGCUGUCACACCGGGCGUAGUAGAUUUUAUCUCGCUCAGGGCGUGCUGCGGGUUCCGGCCGUUAAAAAGCCUUUUUUACCCAAGGUUGACCUCGGAUCAGGUAGGAAUACCCGCUGAACUUAAGCAUAUCAAUAAGCGGAGGA
rnacentral:misc_RNA from 1 species